CUUUCACCUGCGCUUCCCUUGGGUCAGCCGCAGCUGGAAAGCGAGGCCCCUGUGACUUGGACACUAGGAUUGAUGGCUUGCCUUUCCGGAGCAUGGAUUGUUCCCACGUGUCUUCACGUGUGAGGCGGUGGUCAGGGGAGAGGAGGGCCUCCGUAGAAAAUGGCUUUGGACACCAGGGUUCGCGCUCACAGAUCUGGAGGUUUGAAGCCUGAAAUCAGGUCUUCUUGACCAGAAAUAUGCUGUCUGCUCACGCCUAACCUCAUCCCCAACAAGGGCUUGGGUGCCAGGUCCACUGGCCAGCAGGAGUGGAGACGAACCCCCUGGGGCACCAUGUCGAGUGAAGGAGGACAAGGUCUGUUCUGAAUCAAAGUGGGGUGCAGGUGAGCAACGCUGGGGAGCAGGAUCAGUGACACCCACCAGCUCACGCUUCCCACAUCGCAGUGGCUCUGGGCUCUUCCGCACAGACGCUUCUCAGGCCCCGGGCAGCCACGUGCAGUGGUCGGCCAGGCCAGGGCAGGGCGCCAGCGAGUGACACCAACACGCUCUGUCCCGUCUGCCUGCUCUGCGGCUGGCCAGAUACCAGCUCGGUCACUGUCCACCCACGGGAAAGGGCUACUUGGAAGGUGGUUUUCAGAGGCGUGGGGACGAACAAGCCUGUGUCCCGGCCAGAGCCAGGCCAGCGCCGGGAAGGAGCUCCCGGGGGCGACUCCGCCUGUGCCCCACCUCCGGGCGUUCCUUCGCUCCUGUGCGUCCGGGGGAGGGCGUGGGAGGUGGAGCUGGUGAGCCCAUAAGUCUGCGCGCUGCUGCUGAGCACAGGACCCAGCCUCUCUCCUCUGCGUGGCCACCUCCACCUAGCAGCUGCUCCUGGAAUGACCCACCCAGGGGGCGCCCGGCCGUGCAGGCCAGAGGGGAGGCCGGACCCGCAGCGACAGCAAGCUACCUCUGCCCCUGUUACAGGGCAGCAAAUCUGUUCCAAGACAGGG